CAUGGUGCUCGCCCUCAACGGCAGCCACCUCUACGGUGACCUCCGGCCGCUGGUCCUGGAGGAGCCGCGGGCGCUGGGCGGCGGCAGGAUGAUCGCGGGCUCCUGGCCGCCGCGCAGCCUGGCCAAGCUCGGCCCGUCGCCCCCCCCGUCGGCGCUGCCCACGGCGAGCCCCCUCCCCGCCAACGACUCGCAGUGCGGGGAGCAGAUCCUCAGCUACGGCAGCGCGGAGAAAGUUCUCAUCGGGGCCGUGCUCUGCCUCAUCACCCUGCUGACCGUCGCCGGCAACUGCCUGGUGGUGAUCUCCGUCUGCUUCGUGAAGAAGCUGCGGCAGCCCUCCAACUAUCUCAUCGUCUCGCUGGCCCUGGCCGAUCUCUCGGUGGCCCUGGCCGUCAUGCCCUUCGUCAGCGUCACCGACCUGAUCGGCGGCGAGUGGAUCUUCGGGCGCCUCUUCUGCAACGUCUUCAUCGCCAUGGACGUCAUGUGCUGCACGGCCUCCAUCAUGACCCUCUGCGUGAUAAGUAUCGACAGGUACCUGGGAAUAACAAGACCUCUUACAUACCCUGUAAGGCAGAACGGGAAGUGUAUGGCCAAAAUGAUCCUGUGUGUCUGGCUUUUAUCUGCCUCUAUCACCAUACCCCCCCUCUUCGGCUGGGCCCAGAAUGUGAAUGAUGAAAAGGUUUGUCUCAUCAGUCAAGACUUUGGCUACACCAUUUACUCCACAGCAGUUGCAUUUUAUAUUCCAAUGUCAGUGAUGCUUUUCAUGUACUAUCAGAUUUAUAAAGCUGCCAGGAGGAGUGCCGCUAAACACAAGUUCACUGGUUUUCCCCGUCUGGAAGAAAUGGAAGGGAUUUCUGUGAAUGGACUUGUAAAACUGCACAAGGAAUCUGAAGAAUGUACUAAUUUUUCACGACUCCUAAAGCAUGACAAGAAAAACAUUUCCAUCUUUAAAAGAGAACAGAAAGCUGCCACCACCCUUGGGAUUAUUGUUGGGGCUUUCACAGUCUGCUGGCUGCCCUUUUUCCUCCUCUCCACCGCAAGGCCCUUCAUCUGUGGUACAGCGUGCAGCUGCAUCCCCCUCUGGGUGGAGAGAACAUUUCUGUGGCUGGGCUAUGCAAACUCUCUCAUUAACCCUUUUAUCUAUGCCUUCUUCAACCGGGACCUGAGGACAACCUAUCGCAACCUGCUGCAAUGCAGAUACAGGAACAUCAACCGCAAACUCUCAGCCGCAGGGAUGCACGAGGCUCUGAAGCUUGCAGAAAAGCCAGAGUUUGUUCUGUAAGGUCACUCAUCCUCUACUGUGAUAUUUUGUUGUUUCAUCACUUUAGCUUUUUCCCCACAGGUUCGAAAGAAGUGUUGAAGGAAGAACCAGGCUGCUUGAGCAUUGUUAACGCAGCCGUCAAGAAACAAGGUAGAGCCCACCAGUCCUCAUCAGCCUGGAAGAACAAGACCAGCAUCUAAAGAACUUGGGUGUAAGAGGAAUAUAAGUAGGGAUGAAAGUGAAAUGUAGUGCAGGAUUUUUGAGCUGUCAGUGAGGAAAAAGCAAAGUUGGCCUAACCCAUUUGUUUGGCCCAAAAAGCGUUUAGUAGGUCUGAAUGCACCUUGUGUCCUAGAGAUUCUUUGCUGUAAUAAAGACCUGCGAAUGGUGAAAAGUUCAUUUCCUUCCUCUUUGGUAUUACAAAAAUAAAUCAUUAAAGAAGAAGCUGAAUCAAAGAACUUCUAUUUCUUGGAAAUAUUCUUUAUUAUAAAACCCCAUAUGUUCAUUAAACGAUUUACUAGAUUGCCUGGAAAUGAGCUAUGUUGUGAAAUUUAAUAUUGCCUUUGCACAGCAACUCUGGCACUGAAGGAAUAUGUUACACUUCCAGUGUGAUUAUAAGAGUUUGAGUAAAGUCCCAUGGAGCAGCACCUACUGCUGCAUACAGCCAUGAAGCACAGUUAGCUGCAGUGCUGCUGUGCAAAUCACACCAGGAGAAGUUCUGAUUUCUCCAGGGAAAAAGAAUCAUGACCAAGCGUGCUUCAAAGCAGCCAGAAAAAGUCAAGCC